rnacentral:rRNA from 1 species
UGGUGGAGUGAUUUGUCUGGUUAAUUCCGUUAACGAACGAGACCGUCGCCUGCUAAAUAGUUACGCGAAUGGCCUCGGCCAUUGGUGGGCAACUUCUUAGAGGGACUUAUGGUGUUUAACCAUAGGAAGCUGGCGGCAAUAACA